AACGAACGCUGGCGGCAGGCUUAACACAUGCAAGUCGAACGCCCCGCCAGGGGGGUGGCGCACGGGUGAGUAACGCGUGGAUAUCUGCCUUUUGGUUCGGAAUAACCCCGGGAAACUGGGGCUAAUACCGGAUGGUUCCUACGGGAUAAAGAUUUAUCGCCAAAAGAUGAGUCCGCGUACGAUUAGCUGGUUGGUGAGGUAAUGGCUCACCAAGGCGACGAUCGUUAGCUGGUCUGAGAGGACGAUCAGCCACACUGGGACUGAGACACGGCCCAGACUCCUACGGGAGGCAGCAGUGGGGAAUAUUGGACAAUGGGGGCAACCCUGAUCCAGCCAUGCCGCGUGAGUGAUGAAGGCCUUCGGGUUGUAAAGCUCUUUUGGCGGGGACGAUGAUGACGGUACCCGCAGAAUAAGCCCCGGCUAACUUCGUG
rnacentral:rRNA from 1 species